AUGGACGCCGCGGAGGUCGCGGCGAAGGUAUGCGCCCUCGAGGCCGAGCUCGCCGCCACUUCCCCCCGCAUUGCCGACCUGGAGGCCCGGGUCUCGCUCCUCGAAGCCGAGAACGCGCGCUGGAGGAAGGCCAUGCCCAGUGGGGAGGCCUCUGGUCGAUUGGUGGAGGGUUUGGGCGGCCCCAAGCCAAAAACAGUCCAGGCGUAUGGUUCUUUUCACGAGGUCGGUGACGGCGAGGAAGAGGGGGUUGCCGCUGAUGCCGGCAACGGGAGGAGCGGCGAGGAGGAUGGUGUUCCCGCGGUGCCGACCCCUAGGAAGCGUGCGGUGCGGGCGGUUAUCGGUGGGAGCAAUGGCGAAAACGAGAUUGACGAUGCCGGGGGAGGUGGUGGUGGUGGAGACCACCGGAGGGUUCGCCGAAAUGUGGGUCUGGAGAAUGAUGACGUUUGGACCACACCCUGCGGUAAGAAGCACACCACCGCACGGGUGGCCAGCAGCGACAGCGAAGAUGAGGGCGAGAAGAACAACAAGGAUGGUGAAUUGCAGGCGGGGGUGUUGGGUGCUCCACCCAGUAGGAAGCGUGCACUGCUUAGAAUAAUUGACAGCGAUGAGGAGGAUGACGAGACAGAAGGGCGCCCUGCACCCACCAUAAGGCGCUUGACUCGCUUAGCUGAAAAACAGUCGAAGAAAGCACGAGUCGAUCCCAAUGAUCAUGAAGAGAGCGAGGAUGGUUCAGGACAAGAUGGUGGUAUGGGUGAAUCUAAAAAUGAUGCAGAUUGUUCAGAAGAUUCUGACAGCGAGAUGGAUUACACCUUGCUGAAGGAUGUGACCCUGGCGUCAAACAACCGGGUGAGGGUUCGAGUCAGAAUAGCGCGCAUUUCACAUUACAUGAGCAAGCAUCAACGAACAGGAAUUCCACGGCUCGAUUUUGUGAUGCUCGAUGAGCAGGGGGGUAUGAUGGACGGCCAAGUACCUGCGUGGUCUGCAUCACCCUUUUUGCAACACAUCAAGGAGAAUGAUGUGUAUUACAUACACCACUUUAAGGUUGUCCACUCUAGUCUGCCCUAUAGGGCCGUUGAUCAUCCUUGCAUGGCAAUGUUCACGGAGUACACAGAGAUAAGCAAGGAUGAACAUGUGCCUGAUAGUUUUCCGGUGUAUGCAUACAAGAUAUCGCCUUAUGAAGUCCUCCGAUCACGUGAAAACAACACAGCGCUAAUGUCUGAUGCCAUUGGUCUUAUGCUGCGAGUUUCAGAUGUGAAAACUGUUACGGUCAAUGGUACACCUCGGGCAGUCCGUAACGUGUACAUAAGUGAUGGCAGAGAGACAGCUGUUGUUGCUUUGUGGGAGGCACAUGCAAAUCAAUUCCCAGCAGAGACUCUGCAGCAGCAGAUGCAGCAAGGACCAGUUGUCAUUCUCUUUGUUGCCGUGACUGUCAAGCUGCGUGAAGGCCAACUGUGUUUGCAAGGAAGCAAAGUCUGUAGGUGGUAUCCCAAUGCUCCUAUUCCAGAAGUUUUAGCUUUGCAGAACAGUUCUGCUGGAGUUUCACAUGGGGCCAGAUUGGUUGACACAUCACCUACACAGACCCAGACGGGAUUCAUGCAUAGCGGGCUUUCUUCUGGAUGGUGA
rnacentral:rRNA from 1 species